GGGACAAAGGACAAACAUAAACUCCAAACACCAGUCACCUAGCUGUGUUUGGAGUUUAUGUUUGUCCUUUGUCCCU
rnacentral:pre_miRNA from 1 species